AAUAAAGAGGUUGCAUAUUUCAUGAGUAUCAGUUGUGAAACGAAUAAGCGUUAAUGAGCAAGUGAAAAAGGGGAAUGUGCCGAAACAUUAACCAACUUAUUUUGGUUAAUGUUGGGGCUUGACUUAAUAGGUUAAGAACUGUCGUAGUUUUCUACGGAGCGCUUUAU
rnacentral:ncRNA from 1 species